UAUUAAAAAUUCCAUCCAAUUCUAUUGUCAAAAACUAACAUAGCUAAUAGAAUAAUGAAAUAGUGAUGGAUGAAGUGUCACAUGUACCUCAUGCUAAUAUCAAGUUUUUUACAAUAGAAUUGAAUAAAUUUUUUAACA
rnacentral:pre_miRNA from 1 species